GGUGGUAAUGCCGGAUGCUCCGGUUGGAUGCAUGUCCUUCCGGGAAAGGUUCCAUCGGUAUGGGAUGGGGUCGCGUCCUAUCAGCUUGAUGGCGGGGUAACGGCCCACCAUGGCUUCGACGGGUAGCCGGCCUGAGAGGGCGACCGGCCACAUUGGGACUGAGAUACGGCCCAGACUCCUACGGGAGGCAGCAGUGGGGAAUAUUGCACAAUGGGCGCAAGCCUGAUGCAGCGACGCCGCGUGCGGGAUGGAGGCCUUCGGGUUGUAAACCGCUUUUGAUCGGGAGCAAGCCCUUCGGGGUGAGUGUACCUUUCGAAUAAGCACCGGCUAACUACGUGCCAGCAGCCGCGGUAAUACGUAGGGUGCAAGCGUUAUCCGGAAUUAUUGGGCGUAAAGGGCUCGUAGGCGGUUCGUCGCGUCCGGUGUGAAAGCCCAUCGCUUAACGGUGGGUCUGCGCCGGGUACGGGCGGGCUGGAGUGCGGUAGGGGAGACUGGAAUUCCCGGUGUAACGGUGGAAUGUGUAGAUAUCGGAAAAGAACACCA
rnacentral:rRNA from 1 species